UCAACUUUAACAGGUCUUCUGUUAUGGACUUGAUAACAGCAGCAUACUGAGGAAUGCAUUCACCAAGUCCAUGGGCGCGCUGAUGAGGGUGCCAAGGUGAGGGCAUGUGCAGUCAAAGGCAUGAAAAAGCCUGCUGCUGGACAACGCUUUCCGAGGGCAAGCUGGCCAAGCUCUGUGCGGUCUCCAACUGUCAGCUCCGGGCUGUUCGGGAAAGCACCACCAAAGGCUUGUUGCACAGCAGCCUGGUGCUUACAGAAAGCACCCUGGUUCCCUGCCCUGCAGCUGCAUAGCCCAAUGUCCGCCCAUACCUCAUAUGUCCCAGUUCCAGAAGAAUUCGGAACAUGGCAAGUUGGAUUGUGAGGUACAUGAACGGCGUGUUACUUUUGACAAGUUUAGUUGCAAACAACUGCAAUAAAGAAGCGCUAAUAGAUUGACCCCCAGCCACAAAAUAUUGCAUGGCAUGAAACCACAUGGCAAAAUAGGCUUCUGCACCUUAUAGCGGUGCACACUUGUUAUCGACACUAAUAUUUCUGCAUGUGCAUCCUUCCACAACUGCAAACGUGACUAUUUGGUGCUUUUGCUAUGUGUGCUCGCACUAUGUCAGUUUGAGUGGGAGAUGUCACUUAUCUGUUUGUAUUCUUGCAAGUUGGGUGGCUUAAGGAGUAAAACGAAGUUUGCGCUGUUCACGGGGUUUACACUCCAUCACUAAUGUGACAGCGCAUAUCAUGUGUGUUCGGUAACAAGUGCGCAGCGGUUCUUCUUUCUUAAUUUCACUUCUUUGUUGCCAAGCUCCACUUGUUCUUAUUUUUGUCUGUGUAUGUGUGUUUUCACAUCUUUGAACAUGCUAGAGGAUUCGCAGUGGAAAAGAAAGACUUACCAAAUCUUGUUGCAGUUUGCAAACACACUGUGCAUACACAUUGUUUAAUACUACUGCCUAGUCGCGUGACCCAUCAUAAGACUUGGUGUUCCAUUGGCCCAUGGUGCAUUUCUGUGCAUCAUUCGUUUGUCUAAUGCUACACGGCAUAGCACUUCACAAUGUGCAAAGUACUACACACAUUUCAAGGUGCAUGUCACUUGAAGCAGGAAUCCAUGUUACAUAGGCAUCGUAGGGCAGCUGUUGGAUAAAAGUUCUGUCCCCAAAAUUUUGGUAAUGUGAACAGUUCUCAGAAGUUCCGAUAAUUGUCUCAUUGUUUGCUGUAGCUGCAUAAUGUUCAGUGUGCCAUAUUUAAUAAACCAUGUUCAAUGAGCAAACUAAGGCCUCCUGACAUCCAAGCAUUCCGAGCCAAUGUACACCUACCAGUCUAAGAUAAAAUUAGAGCACAAAAAAUAUUUAAGCUGACCAAAACAAUUUGACUUCAUAGAUACAUAACUUCAGUAGUUCAUAGUUUCAUGCCAGAGGUUUUGAUGACACUGCAUCAAGUCUUCUUAAAUAUCUUAAAUUUCUUGCUACUGAAAGGGCCCCUGAAACAGUUUGGAGAAAUAUUGUAGACGCAUAGGGUUCAGCUACAGUAGAUUAUUCACAUCACAAUUCGUAGGAAGCGCCGCAUGUUAAGAUAGCUAGGGACGAGUACAAGUUACCCUCCUCCAUAGUGAUGCAUUUUCCCCUCAACUUGUUCACCGAGUGAUCGGGGCUAAGCUCCGCCUUCACUGGCUCUGCGUCAUGAUGACAGGUCAUGUCAUCUACUUCCAUUUGUCUAGGAGCGAGCGCUCAAAGCCUCUCCAACCUCUCCGCCAGCUGCUUGGCAGUCGAUCCCACGGUGUGAGCGAGAGCUAGCGAAGCAGCGUGCGCUGCGAGCAUUCUGUCGCAGCGCUGAACGUGUCUGGUAUUUCGGUAACCGCAAGCGAGCUGAGCGUUUCAAAGGAUGGGUGGAGGCAUAAACUCAAGCUAAUGAAAAAGCUUUGGCAUAGAUGUGAGUGGCCUGAUUGGUCUGCAUGGUCCAGCCACCUGGUGGUACAGAGCUUAACCACCCGAAGAGCUAAUAUUGCUCUAACCAAGUGUAAGACGUUUUAAAAAUUUACAAAAACUAUGUGUCCACGAUUAUGCUCCUGAGAAAAAUUUACACCAGCAUCAAAGUAUAAUAGACUUCGCUACAGCUACUGUCCUUGGUUGAGCUUUUGCAACCAGGUGGCUUCACCGUGCAGACUAUUCACAUUUGCACUUAUGCUCAUCCUGUAAAACGGCACAGUCAAAUGGCCUGGUCUAGUCUGCUUGCGCUUGCAUUUACCCAAAUAAUGGACAUGCGAAACACUAUUGUGGUAAUAAUUCUCAGGUGUAAAGUGACGGCCACAAACGCACAAAAUGGCAUCGAUCAGAUAGCAACAGUCUAUGCGCUGUAGCCACUCCGCUUGUCUGCUUCCUUGCAUAGGGACACAAGGUUGCAGUUAGACGUAUUGCCAGUUGCUAGGUUUGCGGCCCACAACGUGACAAGGGUGAACCAUGGUGCUUGUGAAAGUAAAGAUCGAGAUCAACACUGACUGUGGGGCUCUUGUUUACACGGAACACGUAACAAAAGCAAACACUUGCUUUGUGCCACAAGUGCUUAAGUGUAGUGAGAAAUUGUCCUGGUGCAUUCUCGUUGUGUUACUUUCUUUUUAUAGAAAAAAAUUAAUAACAUUCCAAUUAUUACGAACAUUUGUUCACCAUAAAGUUAGAAAAAUUAUAGAUGAUGCGCUCAAGGUAGCCUAUGGGAUAACUCACCAUACUGCCAUCAUUAGGAAAACUUGCGUCAAAUAGUCAGGGGUGGCUGAAAAUUCAGCCGAGUGACAUGGUGUGAUUGGUAGCAAUGUACGUUUUUAAAACCUUAUAAUAAAGUACAGGCUUUACGCGGAGCACUUAGAUAUGUCAAUUAACGAUCAGAAAGAUCUACCCUAACAACUCAGUACGUUUGCACAAAAUCGUCAAAAUCAUUUCAGGGUUUUUUACUAGUAUCUAAGUAUACGCAACAAAAGUAUUAAUUAUCUGAAACAUUGCUCUACCUUCUGGAAAGCUGCCAUGAGCUGACGUCUUUCUGCUUUCCCUAUGCUGUUCUGUGCUGAUUUGAGCCAGAUUCCGGCUCAGUUUUGAUUCCGGCUCAGUUUUGAACUAAACGGUGGUAAACAUUUGUACCACACACCACUGCUACCCGCACGCUGGAUGUGAUAGCCAUUUGCUAUCGCCACCGCAGGAAAAAAGCUGGGCGCAACGCGAUGAGCAGCUAUCGUUUUGGAAAGAUUAAGGUAGGCUCCCACCAUAUCUGCGCAGAAGCAGUUUAGUCUUUUAAAAAGCGCGGAACGCGAAAAAUAAAACAAUAAACGGCAUUACAGGUGAUUGGAGCGCGAGAACGUUACGGUUUCGGUUUCGGCGCAAAAAACGCCAAAUGCCACUUGCCCUCUCCACGCUCAUGUUGCCGUUACGACGUUCGGAUGUUUAACAUGAUGUGGCCGCUACGUUAGUUACGUGAAUGCCAUAAGCAAGGCUUUUGCAGUAGCUUAGUACAGCACGAACAUUUAUAGAUCUAAUCUGAAAUUGUUGGUAGAGCACACGGUUUACAAACUUUAAUAGGGUUUUCACUUCCCGUUACUUUCGAUUCCUGUCACCAGGGGCCUCUCUGUGAAGUGUUUCAAACAUGGCGUCCCCCAGUAGCAUCAGCACUCUGCGCGACUCGCAUGACAAUUCACCGUGGUUUUUGUUCCAGGAAAGGCUAGACCACCUGUCCAGUCAGCUUGUUCGGCGAGUGGCUGGGUACGUAGCUGGCUGAAAAUGCUGCCUGUGCACAUAGUUGAGAGCACAAGCAAGGCAGCAGUACAUGCAUUAUAAAUUAUUAAGAUAUAAGGUUACAGACUUGCAAAUCGCUGAUCACCUUGGUUCAAUUAGUAAUUACAUUUGGUACUAGUGUGAACCUGAACGAAUUUUGCAGCCAAGUCUGACAAAUUAAAAAAAUUUUAAAGGUGAAAUCUUCAACAUGCACUUACAUUAGUCUAUUUUUUCUCCUCUCUGAGCAACAUGCUAGUGUGAGCCUUUCAACUAUAAUACUAUUAGUGGUUGCUUCUCACUGGUGUUGAGCAAUUUUGUUUUUGGUGUGGAAGACUAAGCCUUUUUCUUUUGGUUGCAUUGUGUAUUGCAGUUUUUACCAAGUCACCCAAGAAGUAGAGUAAUUACUGUUUAAGAAUAGACAUACUGAGAUGCAUAUAUACAUCGUUGAAUGUAAUUUC